GGGAUAUGGCGGAAUUGGUACACGCUACGGACUUAAAAUCCGU
rnacentral:tRNA from 12 species